rnacentral:rRNA from 1 species
GGUUAAGCGACUAAGCGUACACGGUGGAUGCCCUGGCAGUCAGAGGCGAUGAAGGACGUGCUAAUCUGCGAUAAGCGUCGGUGAGGUGAUAUGAACCGUUAUAACCGGCGAUUUCCGAAUGGGGAAACCCAGUGUGUUUCGACACACUAUCAUUAACUGAAUCCAUAGGUUAAUGAGGCGAACCGGGGGAACUGAAACAUCUAAGUACCCCGAGGAAAAGAAAUCAACCGAGAUUCCCCCAGUAGCGGCGAGCGAACGGGGAGGAGCCCAGAGCCUGAAUCAGUGUGUGUGUUAGUGGAAGCGUCUGGAAAGGCGCGCGAUACAGGGUGACAGCCCCGUACACAAAAAUGCACAUAUUGUGAGCUCGAUGAGUAGGGCGGGACACGUGGUAUCCUGUCUGAAUAUGGGGGGACCAUCCUCCAAGGCUAAAUACUCCUGACUGACCGAUAGUGAACCAGUACCGUGAGGGAAAGGCGAAAAGAACCCCGGCGAGGGGAGUGAAAAAGAACCUGAAACCGUGUACGUACAAGCAGUGGGAGCCUCUUAAUGGGGUGACUGCGUACCUUUUGUAUAAUGGGUCAGCGACUUAUAUUCUGUAGCAAGGUUAACCGAAUAGGGGAGCCGAAGGGAAACCGAGUCUUAACUGGGCGUUAAGUUGCAGGGUAUAGACCCGAAACCCGGUGAUCUAGCCAUGGGCAGGUUGAAGGUUGGGUA